GAUGAAGAACGUAGCGAAAUGCGAUAAGUAGUGUGAAUUGCAGAAUUCAGUGAAUCAUCGAAUCUUUGAACGCACAUUGCGCCCCUUGGUAUUCCAUGGGGCAUGCCUGUUCGAGCGUCAUUUGUUCCUUCAAGCUUUGCUUGGUGUUGGGUGUUUGUCCUGAGGGACUCGCCUUAAAGUAAUUGGCAGCCAGUGUUUGGUUUUGAAGCGCAGCACAAGUCGCGAUUCAAGGCUAUACACCAGCUUCCACAAGCCUUUUUCACUUUUGACCUCGGAUCAGGUAGGGAUACCCGCUGAACUUAAGCAUAUCAAUAAGCGGAGGA
rnacentral:misc_RNA from 1 species